CCGGCGUGUCGGGCGCGGCCGGGUCCGGCGGCGCGGUGGACGCCGCGGGGUCGGGCGCACCGGCCGGUGCUCCGUCCUCGUCGUCGGCC
rnacentral:tRNA from 1 species